CGCGAAUAAAAGUGAAAAACCGGCUAGUGAUCAGUGAUUAUGCAAUAUUAAGACGCAAAAUGGUUGAUAGUUAUUUCAGACUUGCUGAAGAUGGAGUUCAAGCACUUAUGUCAUUACAAAGUAGCGAAGAUCUUUAUUCCAUCACACCACCAGAGGAGAUGUUUCAACCCCCGGGGAGUUCACCAUCUGAAGGAUUACCUGACUCGGGUUUUGCUAGUGUGACAACUGAUGAGAACCAGUUCAAAGGGCCUCAAGAUUCACAAGAGAAUAUGU